CACGUAGUUAGCCGGCGCUUCUUCUGCAGGUACCGUCACCCGAAAGCUUCUUCCCUACUGAAAGAGGUUUACAACCCGAAGGCCGUCAUCCCUCACGCGGCGUCGCUGCAUCAGGCUUGCGCCCAUUGUGCAAUAUUCCCCACUGCUGCCUCCCGUAGGAGUCUGGGCCGUGUCUCAGUCCCAGUGUGGCCGGUCACCCUCUCAGGCCGGCUACCCGUCAUCGCCUUGGUAGGCCAUCACCCCACCAACAAGCUGAUAGGCCGCGAGCCCAUCCCAGACCAGAAACCCUUUCAACAACCACCCAUGCAGGCAGAAAUGAUAUCCAGUAUUAGCCCCGGUUUCCCGGAGUUAUCCCAGAGUCUGGGGCAGGUUACUCACGUGUUACUCACCCGUUCGCCACUAAUCAGGGAUGCAAGCACCCAUCAUCGUUCGACUUGCAUGUGUAAAGCACGCCGCCAGCGUUCGUCCUGAGCCAGGAUCAAACUCUA
rnacentral:rRNA from 1 species